rnacentral:rRNA from 1 species
GCGAUCCGCCGGUGGAUUUUUAGCCCUGGUGGGUAGCUUCCCGGAAACGAAAGUCUUCCGGUUCCGGGGGAAGUAUGGUUGCAAAGCUGAAACUUAAAGGAAUUGACGGAAGGGCACCACCAGGAGUGGAGCCUGCGGCUUAAUUUGACUCAACACGGGGAAACUCACCCGGCCCGGACACCGUAAGGAUUGACAGAUUGAUAGCUCUUUCAUGAUUCGGUGGUUGGUGGUGCAUGGCCGUUCUUAGUUCGUGGAUCGAUUUGUCUGGUUUAUUCCGAUAACGAGCGAGACUCUAGCCUACUAAAUAGUAACGAGAUUAUCAAUGUCUCAGUUGCUUCUUAGAGGGAUUUUCGGUGUUUAGCCGCACGAGAUUGAGCAAUAACAGGUCUGUGAUGCCCUUAGAUGUCCGGGGCUGCACGCGCGCUACACUGGCGAAAUCAGCGUGCUGUAUCCAUUCUCGAAAGGGAUUGGUAAACCCAUGAAAAUUUGCCGUGCUUGGGAUCGGAAAUUGCAAUUAUUUUCCGUGAACGAGGAAUUCCAAGUAAGUGCGAGUCAUCA